GCGAAAGCAGGUCAUAGUGAUCCGGUGGUUCUGAAUGGAAGGGCCAUCGCUCAACGGAUAAAAGGUACUCCGGGGAUAACAGGCUGAUACCGCCCAAGAGUUCAUAUCGACGGCGGUGUUUGGCACCUCGAUGUCGGCUCAUCACAUCCUGGGGCUGAAGUAGGUCCCAAGGGUAUGGCUGUUCGCCAUUUAAAGUGGUACGCGAGCUGGGUUUAGAACGUCGUGAGACAGUUCGGUCCCUAUCUGCCGUGGGCGCUGGAGAACUGAGGGGGGCUGCUCCUAGUACGAGAGGACCGGAGUGGACGCAUCACUGGUGUUCGGGUUGUCAUGCCAAUGGCACUGCCCGGUAGCUAAAUGCGGAAGAGAUAAGUGCUGAAAGCAUCUAAGCACGAAACUUGCCCCGAGAUGAGUUCUCCCUGACUCCCUGAGAGUCCUGAAGGAACGUUGAAGACGACGACGUUGAUAGGCCGGGUGUGUAAGCGCAGCGAUGCGUUGAGCUAACCGGUACUAAUGAACCGUGAGG
rnacentral:rRNA from 1 species